rnacentral:rRNA from 1 species
UAUAAUGGGAUUAAAUACCUUAAAGGCAACAGAUCCCAUCUAAUCGUGGAAGCUAAAUGGGGUCAAUCCAGAUUAGUACUUGGAUGGGAGACCACCAAUGAAUACCAGAUGCUAUAAACC